rnacentral:lncRNA from 1 species
AAAAGAAAUAUUAAGUAAAAUAUUCUAUUUUCUUAUAAAAUAAUAUUUAUAGAGUUAUACGUAAAUAAUUUUUGUAGCAUAAAAGCUAAAUAAAUUUAUACAUAUUGUAAUACAGUAAGCCAAAAUAUUUAAUUUAAUUUACAAUAACAAGAGGGCCCCCGAAUAAACAAAAGUAAAGAGGACUGUGAACCUACGGUUUGGAAAAUGCAGAUCCAACGGUAGUCCUCGAUGAGAUCAGCUAUCUACAGUCUAUACUGAACCUGAAAUGGGUGGAAAGGAGGGUGGUGAGAUUAUAAAAUCCCAAUGAGUAAACAGACAUCAUCAUAAACAUCUAGAGUUGAGUACAUGGAGACAAUAAAG